AAUUCCCUACCUAAAUGCAAAGUCUGAGAGACGUGGUUCACUUCCUUUAGCUAGUCAGUUGGCAAUUCUGCAACAGUGGCUCUAACUGACGCAGCAGUUGACAGACAGCAUUACAGCGUGAAAUCCAGCUGGUGACCCGGUUCUGUGAGGAAUUCUGUUCAGGAGGUCACAUUUCAGGCUCUCCACAUCAUGUGUGACUGACUUUUACGUUAUAACAACGAUCACACACUAGGAAUGUUAUAAAGCGCCUAUAUAGGAGAUUCUUUUGUAUAUUAUCUGACUUUAUAAACUCCCAACAACAAUGUGCUUCUAUUUUUUUUCAGGCUAAAUCUACCCAAGACACUGGCUGUCAGACUGAUUUAGCUGCAAGAAUGCACUUGUCCAGGCUGAUGUGAAACCUUCCCUGUAGCAAAGCCAGUCAGAAUGGAGUUCACAGCCGCAGUGUCUGGUGACCCACAGGGACCAUGAUGAAAAUUCAUCUUCCAGAAAGUCCCAGAGCGUCCAGACCCCCUGAAAAGACCAAGAUGUAAGGUGUCUGCUGUUGAUUCCAGCUUCCACCUCAGUGACAGUGCAAGCUCAGUGAACUGUUCAAGCCUGGCUGAUCACCUGAUAACUCCUGUCAUCUGGUUAUGACAGCAUGAGGAUGUCCUCACACACCUGUAACCUAUCAGCUCAUCUGGCAGAAUAGAGAGAGAAGAGACAACACCACAUCUCCUGUUCCUGGAAAGCCUUCAGCCAUCCUUCGAUGACUGAGAACCUCCAUCAGCUCUGUCUCCUGUCUGCCUACAAUUAUAAUAAAUAUUGUGUU